GCCUCCAUUUGCCUUGAGGUACUUGAAUGACUACCUUCUUAUCUCCGGAGAUUGGCAGGGUCUGCCUUGUCACUUAGACUUUGAUUUGGAGUUCCAUAAGAGGAAAAAUGCUGAUAAAAAUGGAGAUGAGAUGGAUGAUCUUAUGAUAUUGGUUGUCUUGGAGGUGUUGCUUGACAAGUACUCAAUCCAAGGAAACCAAGAAUGGGCAGUGAAGCUCAAUUCUUCAACUGAAGGUAUGUUCAUGGAUUUCUAGUGAAAGGGAAACAGACAGAAGAUAUGAAAAGUUGUUUAUAUCGAGAAAGAUUCCAGCCCAUCGACAGGUCAGAUAUUUGUGGAAUCUGCUGUCUAUUCAAGGAAUUGAUGCUUUUCUUUGGCUCUAUCAUCCAAGGCAGGCAAGAGUUCUAUCCUUCUGCCGAUUGGGCAUUUCAAAUGCAAGGACAUGGUACGUUACUCCUUGUAAUUGAGGUCUAGAGACUCAUGAGGCAUCUUUGGAACAUGGGUGUGAUGAACUGUUCCUAGUUCACUCAAAAUGUUCCUCAAAACUACCAGCAGAGGGUUCUUUUAUGCCUUUGUAUCAUUUGAGAAAGUUAGAUUCACACAUGAGAAAAUGUGCAUGUGCACACAGAGAAGAGAAUUUAUUGUGAUAGUGCUUGAAAUAGUGAUGACUCUAUCCCAUUUGCUCUUUAAAGGUUCAUGUGCUCAUUGACACUCAAAAUGCGCCUACUCUCUCCUGACAGUGUGAGGAAGACAUGAUCAUGGCUUCUUUGAUCUGCAUUGUGGAUUUUGAUUGUCAGAAGAUCCUAGUCUGCAAAUGGAGUUGGAUUGUGGAAAGAAACUUCAGUUCGAUGCGGAGGUAGUUACAAAUUUGAAUUAGUUCUUGUAUCGGGUCCCUUUAUGAACUAUAUUCAUAUGAUUUGCUGUACUUGUUAUUAUCAGCAAAAAUAUUAGUUGUCUUGA